CAUCUAUCAACAAGUGAAUCUAAAAAUCAAGUGAAUAAUCUGAUGAACAGAAUGAACUGGGCGGGUGUUCAAGUUUGAUGGCCAGGUCCUUUCAUCUUGUGGCUCCACUGUCCCCAAGGCCUUGCUGCCAUCUGCAUUGAACUUGAAGAGGACAGAGUACGGAGGAGGUGUGUCUGCUGCUUAAAGAUUUCUGCCCUGAGAGUGGCAGGCCUUGCUUCUGCUCACAUUCCAUCAGCAAGAACUAGAAGUGUCAACCAAAUUCAUGAUCGACAAUGACAGAUAGAAACAGAUGUGUGUGAUUGGC